CUGAUCAGCCAUGCCGCGUGCAGGAAGACUGCCCUAUGGGUUGUAAACUGCUUUUAUACGGGAAAAAACCUACUUACGUGUAAAUAACUGACGGUACUGUACCAAUAAAGAUCGCCUAACUCCAUGCCAGCAGCCGCGGUAAU
rnacentral:rRNA from 1 species